ensembl:lncRNA
GUGCCACAUACUUUCCCUUCUGUAUAAAAUGGUCAGAGGGAUCAGCCCUUAGGACUCCCUAAUGCCUCAGUGAUAGAAACCCACCCUCCAAAAUUGCGCCCUCACCACUUUGAGAAUGUUGCGUUUAGAGAACAAUUGUCUUCACGUGUUCAACAUUGUCCUGUUAUUUAUGAGGUUUUCAACCACCUGGAAGCCAGGCAAAUACUGACCCAAGCUCGGAACUGUGCGCUGACCCAAGGACAAAAGAGUAUUCUCCAUAUGCAUUCCCUGGGCCUGUUGGUUGCCAAGAUGGGGACCCUUGAAAGUCCAGCGUGGCUUAGUCUUGAUUUCAAAGAGGCAAACGAAGAGGUGGCUUAUAAACCACCAUUUAUUUCUCACAGUUCCGGCGGCCGGAAAGUCCAAGAUCACCGCGCCCGCAGCUUCGGCGUCUGGUCUCAUAUGGCUGAAAUCAAGAUGUUGGAUGGCUGUGUCAUCUUCAGGAGGUUUGACUGGGGAAAGACCCACUUCCAAGCCCAUUUAGAUUGUCUUUUCUGGUUUCCGGUUGAUUGUCCACCGGGUUUGGGGAUUCAGCUUCUCCCCGAGAUAGCGUCGGGAUGUGAAAGCGCAGCCUGGGAUCCAGAGCCCCCAGGCGUGGACGACACAUUCCAGGACAGGAAAUUCCUCCUCUCCCUGGAGAGAUCUGCUUACAUUCUAGAGGAAAGAAGAAUUGGGACAAUAACACAGAUCAGGAAAAGCGAAUAGACAAGGAGAAUCUUAAGAAAUGACUCCCUAGAUCCAGCCCACAGUCCGAGGGAGGGGAUUAUACAAGGAAGUGAAUACCAGACAGUGUGGAUUAUUUGUGGCCAUCCCAGAGGACUGGGGACAAAGGUCAGUUUUGAGCAUGCAGAUGAGGGCAAUGCACUAGGAUGGGGUGAAGAAACAGAUUGGAAGGAACUGGGUUUCUGAAUGACCACAUGGAGCCAAGUUGCCUGCCAACCUGCUCUGCUGACUCCAGACUGUAACGUGAGAAAUAAGCCACUGAAUUAUUCCUGGCUCCCUGUGACAGCAGCCUAGGUUUUACCCCUGCUAAUACAUUUACCAAGUUAAGUAACCUCAUUGAGUGUCACUUUCGUUAUCUGUAAAGGGAGAAUAAUGUUGAUACAUCCCUUGGAAGGCUGUGGUGAUAAAUAUACAAGAUAAUCCAGACAAAGUGCUUGGUCCAGUGCCCUUCUCAUGGUAAUUUUUUAAAUAAGUGGUUUCUACUAGAAUGAAGAAUGAAGAUAAUUCCAUCUUUGGUUUGGAUGAUGGAUAUAGAGCUAGGAAAGCAGAUGGAGUUGGUGAACUGACAGAAAGACCUGAACUGAUUGAAACAGACUUGCCAUGAGUGGAACCCUAGUAUUCAUAUUUUUUAAAAGUUCCCCAGAUAGCUCUGGUGAGUACCUUGGUUUGGAUACACGUACUUUAUAUUGGCUCUGUAUGUCAUAUAGUAUUCCGUUAAUUAAAUGCCUUAAUGCUUUCCUUUGAGAGAAAGAUCAAUCUAGAAUUCCUGAUAUUCCCAUAAGUGCUAGAAAAGGGAAGUAUAAUAGGCCAAAUUAGUCAUAUUCAAUGAAACACAUUUCUUGUUGAUACUGAUGUCGAAAACAAACAAACAAAAAAACUGCAUGAGAGACUUCUAUUUGGGGCGGUAUUAUCAUCUACAUUCUCCAAAGAUUCUUCUUAUUAGAUCCUGCAGAAGACUUGAGUUUUCUGGCACUUCUGGGCUCAGGAGAUAAGGGAAAUCUUCAAGCCCAUAAAUCCAACCCAAGCAAACAAAGCUGUGAGCUGAAACUUGGGAGGUGCGUUGCGAGCAGACACGUGGAGUGAGGCUGCCUUACAUGCUAAAUCAGCACCGAGACAAGGAGACCGACUCCUGAGUCUGCUUACAGUUGAGGGGAUGAACCUGAGGCUCCAGGUGAAGCUGGAGAUCCUGAAGGGAGCCAAAUCGGUCCCAGAUCAGUGGUGUCCUUGGGCUAUUGGCUGAAGCAAAUGUGAAUCAUCUCUGGAGGAGAGCAUGCCCCACAUAAGGGCCUAGGAGUUCAAGGGAUAAAGAUAAACCAAAUAUGAGCUGAUAAGUGAAGACCAACAAACACACAAGGGAACACGCCCUCACAAGUGAAGAAAGAAACCCAAAGGACAUCAGAUACUGCAGUUCUCAUUUUCCAAACAGCAUAACUCUGUAGACAGUUUUUUUUAAAAAAAAACAGACUUAUUGAGAUAUACUUCACAUACUGUACAAUUUACCCUUUUAACCCAUUUAAAGUGAGCAAGUCAAUGGUUUUUAGUAUAUUCACAGAUAUGUGCAAGCAUCACCAGAGUCAAUUUUAGAACAUUUUCAUCACCUCAAAAAAAAAAUUCCAUAUCCUUUAGCUGUCAUCACUGUCUCCUGUUUCCUGCCCCCCCCCUAGUUUAGGCAACCACUGGUCUAGUUUCCAUCUCUAGAGACCUCCCUAUUCUGGACUUUCAUAUGAAUGAAAUCAUAGAGUGUAUGGUCUUUUGUGACUGGCUUCUUUCACUCAGCAUAAUGUUUUCAAGGUUCAUCUACAUUGUAGUAUAUCAGUAUGUCUUUCCUUUUUGUCUCUGAAUAAUAUUCU